rnacentral:rRNA from 1 species
CCUACGGGAGGCAGCAGUGGGGAAUAUUGGACAAUGGGGGGAACCCUGAUCCAGCCAUGCCGCAUGUGUGAAGAAGGCCCUCGGGUUGUAAAGCACUUUCAGUGAGGAAGAACGCCUGGUGGUUAAUACCCAUCAGGAAAGACAUCACUCACAGAAGAAGCACCGGCUAACUCCGUGCCAGCAGCCGCGGUAAUACGGAGGGUGCGAGCGUUAAUCGGAAUUACUGGGCGUAAAGCGCGCGUAGGUGGCUUGAUAAGCCGGUUGUGAAAGCCCCGGGCUCAACCUGGGAACGGCAUCCGGAACUGUCAAGCUAGAGUGCAGGAGAGGAAGGUAGAAUUCCCGGUGUAGCGGUGAAAUGCGUAGAGAUCGGGAGGAAUACCAGUGGCGAAGGCGGCCUUCUGGACUGACACUGACACUGAGGUGCGAAAGCGUGGGUAGCAAACAGGAUUAGAUACCCGAGUAGUC